rnacentral:misc_RNA from 1 species
UCGGCCCCGUAGAGCCUCACUUUCUGUAUUGACGUCGAUUGUAGAAGCUUAGCGGUGGCAGCCGGUGGCGGAAGGUUGUCAGCAACUAAACCAUAGUUAAUGCCAAUAAAUGACUGCGACCUGGCUAUCAAGAAGAAAGCUUGAAGGAGGAGACAGAGAAAGAUAAGUCUUGAAAACGCCAUGUAUCUAGUUCUUGUUAUUUCUCUUUCUCGUUACUGAUG